CUCAACUUUUCUGAAUCUCCCACUUGGCUGUGUCUCUGUACCUGCUAAAUCAACACAGUUCCUGGCAUACAGGUGCAUUUCAGUGCAUGCUGGUGAGACAGCGAAGGGCUUGAAACAGUCCACAAAAGUUGAUGCAGGAGAGCAGUACAAUCCUUUCUGGAGUGGGACUCAGAGAAAGAUCAUGCAUGUUGAAGUCAUUCCAGCAGCAGUCCAGGGGAGUUGGGGCAGGUAAGAUGGGAUAAGUGCACUCCAACCAUCAUUUCUGUUGGUCAUAACUCCAGGAGAGAAAGUUUAGAACAGCUAUUUGAGGACGGUGAAAAGAAAACAGCAGAAGGAAUAUUGGUGAAGAACACAGAAUUUGAAGUACAUCAAACCAGUAGGCUCACUUCCAAGCCAUACAUGUUUGGAUCUGGUUUUAAUGAGGAUACCAAGACCUUUGAGAACUGAAGUAAUAGAGAGGUCAUCACCUGGUUCCUAGACUGGCUUCUGGGUGGUGCACACCUGAAAUGGAGACAAAAAGCAGUUUGAAAACUGAGUGGAUGUUGACAUCACAGCGCACAGAAGGUAAAUGCAGAGAUUUCAGACUACAAAGUGACCUUCAUAGGCCAAUGGUGUUUCUGGAAACCUGUGAGCAGAAAAAGGACUUCCACUCUGAGGGGUGGCAGCAUAGUCACUUGGCUGGGGCAACUGGUCUCUUUGGCAAUAACUGCUUAUCAGAGAGGUUCCCAUGGCAUCCAGGCCCUGCAGGAUGCUGUUGAGACCCUGUCAGGUGAGAACAAAAUGGCAGUAGUGUGGCCCAGGCUCCCAUACUGAGGACGGAAGGCACCAGAAGACAGUAGACACUGGUCCAAAACCUAGAGGUGUGCACAGCAGAUGGAAAACUACUUUCUGCCAGCAGAGGUGACAUUUUCAGGGGGCUUCAUGGCUUUAGUGAGAGAGAACCAAGGAACUGGAAAGGAUGGACACUGUGGGUGGCCACACACACAAACCUCGGCGACUGGCAAAAUCAUCUGAGGAGAAUUGAAUUGUUUCCUUGGCAAACGAAGUGGUUGAAGAACUAUUUUUAUGGCUGUUCUUAUGAUUCUGUGUUUCACUGUAGACUGGCACAGCCUAGAGAACAUGCGCUA
rnacentral:lncRNA from 1 species